CAUACUCUGAGUAUCGUUAAUAUGUUAGAUUUCAGAGAUUAAUUGAGAGUGAUUGAAAACAAAAUGGAGGAAUCAGAUGAAUCAUCAGACGAUGAAGUUCAAUAUUCGGAGAAGUUACAGCCUCCUCUGAUAAAUCAGCUGAAGAAAAUUUUAGAUGAAUACCCAGACGACGGACAGAUUUUAAAGGAAAUUAUCCAGAAUGCCGAAGAUGCCGAGGCUUCAUUAAUGAAAGUUUUGUAUGACGAACGCAAAAUCAACCAAGAUAUAUCCAGCACUGAGAAACAAUAUUUCAAGAAGUAUUUUAAGGUAUAUAUUUAUAAAGUAUA